CCUGCCCAUCAGAGGGGGAUAACAUUCGGAAACGGAUGCUAAAACCGCAUAGGUCUUCGAACCGCAUGGUUUGAAGAGGAAAAGAGGCGCAAGCUUCUGCUGAUGGAUGGACCCGCGGUGCAUUAGCUAGUUGGUGAGGUAACGGCUCACCAAGGCCGUGAUGCAUAGCCGACCUGAGAGGGUGAUCGGCCACAUUGGGACUGAGACACGGCCCAA
rnacentral:rRNA from 1 species